GCGGUAAUACGGAGGGUGCAAGCGUUAAUCGGAAUUACUGGGCGUAAAGCGCACGCAGGCGGUCUGUCAAGUCGGAUGUGAAAUCCCCGGGCUCAACCUGGGAACUGCAUUCGAAACUGGCAGGCUGGAGUCUUGUAGAGGGGGGUAGAAUUCCAGGUGUAGCGGUGAAAUGCGUAGAGAUCUGGAGGAAUACCGGUGGCGAAGGCGGCCCCCUGGACAAAGACUGACGCUCAGGUGCGAAAGCGUGGGGAGCAAACAGGAUUAGAUACCCUGGUAGUCCACGCCGUAAACGAUGUCGAUUUGGAGGUUGUGCCCUUGAGGCGUGGCUUCCGGAGCUAACGCGUUAAAUCGACCGCCUGGGGAGUACGGCCGCAAGGUUAAAACUCAAAUGAAUUGACGGGGGCCCGCACAAGCGGUGGAGCAUGUGGUUUAAUUCGAUGCAACGCGAAGAACCUUACCUGGUCUUGACAUCCACAGAACUUUCCAGAGAUGCAUUGGUGCCUUCGGGAACUGUGAGACAGGUGCUGCAUGGCUGUCGUCAGCUCGUGUUGUGAAAUGUUGGGUUAAGUCCCGCAACGACCGCAACCCGUCA
rnacentral:rRNA from 1 species